CUUAAUAACUGGAGGUUAAGCCAGUGGUGUAGAGUGGUCUCACUAUUAGUUACUGUUUGUCAUGCAAGGAUAUGAUGGAAAUUCAUGGUCCGUGUUAUUGAUAUUAUAUGAUAAGUCUAUAUAACCAUAUCUGAUCUUUGCAAUCAUUGGCGGAAUAGUGCGUGUCGAAAGCUGCGUGACUAGCAUCUUGAGAGGUUGCUUGAAUGUGAUUUUCAUUUUUAUUUAAAGGUCCGAAGUGUAAAGAUGACUGCUAAAGAUAAAUCACUGCUGCAUUACAUAGCAGUGGUGCUGUGGUACUGAGUGGAAAGGAAUCCUUGCAAACCUGUGUGUGAUAAUAAUGGAGAACACUAUAUGUCAGAGCCACAACUGAGGGAUUUUGCAAUGACCACAUUCAAGGUUUCAACAUGAGCACUAAGUGGAGAGGGAUUUCCUGUAGUUGCUUAUCAACCAUAAAACAUCCAAGGGAUCAACGUGACCACAAAGUGGAGAACGAUUUCCUGUAGUUGCUUAUCAACCAUAAAAGAUCGAAAAUGGAAAGUGGCCACAACUACUCCCCUUCCUGCAUUAGAGACAGUUGCAGCUGUCUGAAUGGAUAUGUUAUAUUGGCCAUCCAAGAUCGAAAAUGGAAAGUGGCCACAACUACUUCCCUUCCCACAUUAGAGAAGAAUGGAUAUGUUAUAUCAGCCAUCCAAUGUCUGGAACAGGAUUACUGAAGGCUGAAGUGCUACUGGUUAUAAUGCUAAUCAUAUUGAGCUGCGAGGUGUAGCUCUUCAAGCCAGCAGAAUCGGAAAGUACAACAAUGAUGGCAAUUGCGCUAAUGUGGUCAGCAUGUACUGCCUUACUUGUCUUGCUGACUGUUGGAAUCCAUGGCCUUUGUCUGCCUCUUCAUCCAGUUAAUGUAUUGGUAGUACUUCAGAGGGUAAUUGCCUCGUGUUGAUUGUAUCGUUUCCUUAUCCUGUUAUCUAUGUUAGACAAUAAUAAAUAGCUGCAUCGAAGAGAUCAUGUAAAUGUAAUUGAGCAUAAAUGCUUGCGCAAACAUGUAAGAAAAUUACAGUGGGAAACAAUUGAAAUUAAACAAUAAGGCAACGAAUGAGCCUAGUAAGGCAUUGGCUCUUGGAAAAUGACAUUGUUGUGUGUCUGUUACGUUUGUUGAUUAUUGUAAUAAAUGUAUUACUGUGAUCGUGUC